rnacentral:rRNA from 1 species
GAUGAACGCUGGCGGCGUGCCUAAUACAUGCAAGUCGAGCGAACAGACGAGGAGCUUGCUCCUCUGACGUUAGCGGCGGACGGGUGAGUAACACGUGGAUAACCUACCUAUAAGACUGGGAUAACUUCGGGAAACCGGAGCUAAUACCGGAUAAUAUAUUGAACCGCAUGGUUCAAUAGUGAAAGACGGCUUUGCUGUCACUUAUAGAUGGAUCUGCGCCGCAUUAGCUAGUUGGUAAGGUAACGGCUUACCAAGGCAACGAUGCGUAGCCGACCUGAGAGGGUGAUCGGCCACACUGGAACUGAGACACGGUCCAGACGCCUACGGGAGGCAGCAGUAGGGAAUCUUCCGCAAUGGGCGAAAGCCUGACGGAGCAACGCCGCGUGAGUGAUGAAGGUCUUCGGAUCGUAAAACUCUGUUAUUAGGGAAGAACAAAUGUGUAAGUAACUGUGCACGUCUUGACGGUACCUAAUCAGAAAGCCACGGCUAACUACGUG